UGGAAGUGCGGGCUGCGAGGUUGGGGACGCCGGCGCCGGCGGUUGGGCGCCGUCGCGGCGUGAGAGAGAGAGAGAGAGACGGCUAGGGUUUGGGGCUCUCGUCUCCUGAGGGAGACGACAACAGAAUAUACUGUUUAUUGUCUGAUUAAUAUCGAAGGGGUACAUGUGUUUAUAAAGGAGGACAACCUCCACUAAACCCUAGAUAACUUGGACUCUAACUUGGACUCUAAUAUAACUUGGACUCUAAUAUAACUUGGACUUCUAAGAUAGGUAAGAUAACUUGGGCUAAGCCCGUAAUUAACCCUGCCCAUUGGGCCUCCUCCGUUGGUACGUUGUACCGGUCAUAACAUCUCUCUCCGCCUUCUCAAACAGCUCGUCCUCGAGCUGAACAUCUGGAAACUGCUGGCGGAAAUCGUCGAGCUUCUCCCAAGUCGCUUCCUCCUCUGGCAGGCCGGUCCAUUGUACCAAGACAUGCCAGACGCCGCGACGCUGCUGCGCCUGUAGCACCUUCGCCACCUGUGCGGAAGCUGGAAGGAGGCGGCCAUCCGAAGUAGUAGGAAGGGCCGGUGUCGCUGCAGGAGGGUCCCCACGGUAGGCCUUCAGUAAGCCGACAUGGAAGACGUCGUGGAGGCGAGAACCAGCUGGCAGCUCCAAGCGGUAUGCGAGUGUGCCGACAUGCUCCAGCACACGAAAGGGACAGGCAUAGCGAGGUCCCAAUUUGCGCUUGGAGCGCGGGUCCAGAGACUGCGUGGUCCUGUGGAGGAGGCGCAUCCACACCCAAUCGCCCACCGCGAACUCCGCCUCGCGAUGAUGAGCAUCGUAGUACUUCCGAGCCAGCUGCUGUGCUUGGAGAAGACGCUGGCGUGCCUCAGCCAGAAUGUCGUCGCGGGUGCGGAGUAAGUCGCCCGCCGUCUCGGACCGAGCCGUCCCAGGCUCGUAAGGGAGCAUCGCCGGAGGUGGGCGCCCGUAGACCACCUCGAAAGGCGUGGUGCGCAGGGCGGAGUGAUAGGAGGUGUUGUAGCAGUACUCCGCCCACGCCAACCAGUCCACCCAAGCUCGUGGACGAUCACCAGUAACACAGCGCAGGUACAUGGCGAUCACCUUGUUGACCACCUCGGAUUGGCCGUCUGUCUGAGGGUGGAACGCCGUGCUCAUGCGGAGCUUCACGCCCGCCAGUCGAAAGAGAUCCCGCCAGACAUGUCCCGUGAACACGGGAUCACGAUCGCUGACGAUGGACGAGGAAAACCGUGGAGGCGGACGAUGCCGUCGAAGAAGGCCCGCGCCACGGAGGCGGCUGUAUAUGGAUGACCCAGGGCGAUGAAGUGCGCGUACUUGGAGAAGCGGUCAACCACCGUGAGGAUGACGGAUUUGCCGCCCACCUUGGGAAGGCCCUCGAUGAAGUCCAUGGAAAUAUCCGCCCACACCUGGGAGGGUACGUCCAGCGGCUGCAGUAGACCCGCGGGUCGUAGUGUCUCCGUCUUGUUCCGCUGGCACGUCAGGCACGACCGCACCCAGUCGCGGACCAUCGCGCCAUCACCGGGGAUGUAAAAAUCAGCACGGAGACGAUGGAGAGUCUUUUGCACGCCCUCGUGCCCUGCAGAGUGCGCCAAGGUCAGGACCUGAUGGCGCAGGUCGCCAUGGUCGGGCACGAAGAUGCGGCGGCCAUGUAGGAGUAGCCCCUCGUCCAAGCGCCAGGGCGCGUCCAGCUCGCCGACGUCAAGGCGCUGGCGCAGGCCCUGGGCGUCCACGGCCGUCGAAGUUGCCCGGCGGAUGUCGUUGAUGAAGGCGAAAGAUGGCCCGGAGCGAAUGCACAUGAUAGUGCCAGCCAUGGCGACGUCGUCCGCGACAUCCUCAGUGUCGCGGCGGGACAAGGCGUCGACGACCGUGUUGAGACGGCCGGGGCGGUACUCAACAGUGAAGUUGAAGCCAAAGAGCUUGCUGAUCCACUGGUGUUGCGGAACUGUGGAGAGGCGCUGGUCCAGCAAGAACUUGAGGCUGUAGUGGUCCGUGCGCACACGGAAUGACCGGCCCCAAAGAUAAGGCCGCCAGUGGCGCACCACCUGAACCAGCCCAAUAAGCUCGCGCUCAUAGGCCGCGAGCUUGUGAUGGCGAGCGGCGAAGGGGCGGCUGAAGAAGGCGAGCGAUCCCUCGCCCUGGUGAAGGACGGCGCCGAAGCCGAUGCCAGAGGCGUCGAAGUCCACGAUGAACGGCAUAUCAAAGUCCGGCAUCUGGAGGACGGGUCCCGUCGUGAGCGCCUGCUGGAGAGCCUCGAAUGCCGUAGUCGCCUCCUCGUCCCAGGAGAAGGCGUCGCGUCGAAGGAGACGCGUCAGUGGCGCGACGAUGAGGCCGAAGUCCCGGAUGUACUUCCGGUAGUAGCCGGCGAGGCCCAAGAAGCCGCGGAGCGCCCGCGAUGACCGUGGGAUCGGCCACGCGGCGACGGCGGCGACCUUGUCCGCGUCCAUCGCUACCCCGUCCGCCGAGAUGACGUGCCCCAGGUACGCGACGGAGGUCGUGCCGAACGAGCACUUCGAGCGCUUGAGGUGAAGACGAUGCGCUCGAAGCUCGUUGAAGAUGAUGGCCACAUGUUGUAGAUGCUCCGCCCAAGAUGCACUGUAGAUGAGAAUGUCAUCAAAGAAAACAAGCACAAAGCGGCGCAAGUAUGGGCUGAGCACGUCGUUCAUCAGGGCCUGGAAGGUCGCCGGCGCGUUGGAGAGGCCGAACGGCAUCACCAGGAACUCGAAGUGGCCAUGGUGAGUGCGGAACGCCGUCUUCUUGAUGUCGUCAGGGUGCAUGCGCACCUGAUGGUAGCCCGAGCGAAGGUCGAGCUUGGUGAAGAAGCGUGCUCCGUGUAGCUCGUCCAAGAGCUCAUCCACGACGGGGAUGGGGAACUUGUCCUUGGACGUCAGGGCGUUGAGGGCGCGGUAGUCGAUGCAGAAGCGCCAUGUGCCGUCGGACUUGCGCACAAGGAGCACCGGGGCGGAGAACGGCGAUGUCGAAAUCCGGAUGAUGCCCUGCGCGAGCAUGACCGCCACCUGACGCUCGAGCUCGUCUUUCUGCAGCUGAGGGUACCGGUACGGACGCACGGCUACAGGUGCCGUGUCCGGCAGCAGGUGGAUGCGGUGGUCACAGGGCCGCACGGGAGGGAGGCCCUGUGGCUCGUCGAAGAUGUCGCUGUGCUGCUGCAGGAGGUCGGCCAGGAGGGGAUGCGCCUCGUCCAGUGCGGACGCCAUCAACUGGAGCUGUGGAGUCACGGCGCCGGAGCCGCCGAUGCAUGUCCACUGAACGCGACGGCCGCCCUCGCGCCAGAAGAUGAGGGACAGCACAUCGAGGUCCCAAAGGAUGGGGCCGAGAGUGGACAGGAAGUCGAUGCCGAGGAUGAAGUCGUAGCAGCCCAGGUCGAUGCCGACGCAGUCGAUGGAGAACGGCUCGUCACCGAUGAGGACGGGAACCUGCCGCGCCACCCCCUGGCAAGCAAGGCGGUCCCCGUUGGCGACGGUGACGCUGAACUUCUCCGAGCCCGCCGGUUGGAGUGCGAGGCGGCGCAUGGCGUCCCCGGACAGGAAGUUGUGCGUCGAACCCGUGUCCACGAGCGCGGUUAGACGCUCCCUGUUGAUCGUCACCGGAAGCAGCAUCGUCUUUGCCGUCUUGAUGCCAGCCAUGGCAUGAAGGGAGACGACGAAGGCGGUCGCGUCGACCGGCCCGUAGGUCGUGACGCCGGCCUCGGAGAGUGUGGUGGCGUCGAGCUCCGUGGUGAGGGCCUCCACCUCCGCGUCGUCGACGGUCUCCAAGUAGAACAGGCGGGCGCACGUAUGACUCGGCGCAUACGGCUCGUCGCAGUUGAAGCACAGGCCCUUGCGGCGCCGCUCGAGCUGCUCGGCCGACGUCAAGCGCCGGAAGGUGCGUGUCGACGCGGGGGCAGCCGCCGUAGCAGCCGGCAGGGCGGGGCGUGUCGGGGUGGCGGCCGCCGGGGCGGGGCGGGUCGGGGAACGCGUGCCGCGGCCCGGGAACGCCUGCUGCAGGGCGUUGGCGCGCUGCUCGUACGCGCGUGCGUAAUACAUGGCCGUCUGCAGGUCCUGGGGGUCGUGCAUCUCGUCGUCGAUGCGGAUGUGGUCGGGAAGGCCGCCGACGAAGAGCUCGGCGCGUUGGCGAGCCGUGACGUCAGGCGCAUGGCAGGCCAACGUCUGGAGGCGGUCGGCGACGUCCUGCACCGAGGUGGUGAAGGGAAGGCGACCGAGCUCGGCCAAGCGGCUCCCACGUAUGGGGGGGCCGAACCGGAGGAGACACAGGUCGCGAAAGCGCUCCCAUGAAGGCAUCCCGCCCUCGUCCUGCUUGAGGGCGUAGUACCAAGUCUGGGCGGCGCCACGGAGGUGGUAGGAGGCGAUCCACGUGCGGUCGGACGCCAUGGUCCGCUGCCCCCUGAAAAACUGGCCGCACUGAUUGAGCCAGUUCCGGGGGUCGACGGUGCCGUCGUAGGUGGCGAACUCCAGCUUGGUGAAGCGGGGUGGCUGCUGCACGUGUGGCGAGGCCGCGUAGGUGCCCUCGUGACGGCCCAGCGCGGUGGAAGGAGAGUGUUGCGUCACCACGGAGCUCCCGGCAUACGGAUCAGUGUACCCGCCGAACCCCUCGAAGGUGGGGGCGGGUGGCUGCAACACCGUCGGCUGUAGUGGCGCCGUCGUGUAGGUCGGCGUGUCCAUCCACGUCGGUAGCGGGGACGGCGACGGCGGCCACCGGACCUGGGUGAUCGGCAGGCCCUGGGGCACGACAGUCGCCGGGGGCGGUGUCGCGAAGGGCGCCGCCGGCGGAGGCGGUGGUGGCGGGGUUGCGUACGGAGCCUGGAGGAGAGUCCGGAGGUUCGAGACCGCCAGGUUGAGGUCGUGGAUCGCCGAGGACAUCUCCGCCGGGGAGAGGACGGGAGCGGGUUCGGCCGCCAGGGCCGCGGGACCGGAGGCAGCCGGGCUUGAGGUGGCCGGCGGCGGCUGCUGCUGUGAGGUGGCGGGGAAGGCGGUGGUGGCGGCGGCGGUGGUGGUGGGAAGGUCCGACAAACUCAUCGAACCCAAGCUACCUGAUACCAAAUUGGUAGAGGCUAGGGUUCUACCAGGUCUCGGACGUAGGUUCUAGGGGUGGAAGUGCGGGCUGCGAGGUUGGGGACGCUGGCGCCGGCGGUUGGGCGCCAUCGCGGCGUGAGAGAGAGAGAGAGAGACGGCUAGGGUUUGGGAGGAGACGACAACAGAAUAUACUGUUUAUUGUCUGAUUAAUAUCGAAGGGGUACAUGUGUUUAUAAAGGAGGACAGCCUCCACUAAACCCUAGAUAACUUGGACUCUAAUAUAACUUGGACUUCUAAGAUAGGUAAGAUAACUUGGGCUAAGCCCGUAAUUAACCCUGCCCAUUGGGCCUCCUCCGUUGGUACGUUGUACCGGUCAACCGGUCAUAACAGUGCAUGCCAUGAUGAUUCGACAUUGGGUCUUCAUAGGAAAAAAUGAAGGGGACCUCAAAAUUGCCCAACGACCCUUGAGCCUUCCAAAGGCCCUUUCUAUAAUAUUUUGGGCUCUAGCAUGGCGCAUGUUGAAAUACUCCUCUGCACUACGAGGUGGGUUUUGUGGUGUCCAACCACUCAAGUGGUAUCUUUGACCUCGGUAUGGAGCUAGAAAUCCUCUUGCGUUUGUGUAGCCAGCAUGGACAAGGUAAUAUUGGUCUUCGGGGACACUUAACCCAUUUGGCCUUGAGAUGGCAUCCCUAAGAACACGGCAAUCGUGUGUAGAACCCUCCCAACCAGGUAAUAUGUAGAUGAACUGCAUGUCAGGUGCACAUACACCUAACACAUUUGUAUCUAUAUCACCCAACCUUGAUCUAUAUCUUUCUUUCAGAUUAGCUGGGACAGUUACGUCUAUGUGUGUGCCGUCUAACACUCCAAGGCAAUUCUAGAAUAUAAACAACAAUGUGAAAAUAUUAGCAUCUUUUACCACUAUUGAGAUCGUCUGGUGAAUAAUAUUAUUUCUUAGUAGUUAUUUACCUUGAAAUACUUCCAUUUAUCAUUCGUGCAAUCCUCGAGUAUAGGUUCAGGUUUCUUAAGUAGCAGACGGUGCAGCUUGAGGACAGCUAGAAGACAAGCAUUGAAGUUUCUACUAACCGGCUCCGGGCUUCGAUAGAAGAAUUUUCCUACUGUCCUAUUUUCCUAUUUUUAAGAUGGUGUGAUAAUACAUACAAGAACGAUGCCACUAUCUCCUCUAAAGAUGUGUUCCUCGUACCCUUUAGACCACUAACAUCUCUCACCAUCUCACAUAAUAUAUGAAAUGUUCUCCUAUCCAUACGAAAUUGACUUAUACACAUAGCAUCGCUCUCAUCAAUUAGCCGGUACAAGUUCUCUCCCCUUAACUCUCUAAUUUUAAUUUUCCUUUCUAUUUGCCAACAUUUUCUCUUAUAAGCUAAUGCAAACAUGAACCACACAUAAUAAUAUACAAGCAUAAUGGAAGUGGUCAAAUUCAAAAAUGUUGCGUUUCUCCUUCCACUCCUCGCACUUAAGGGAAGACGAGCCAUAACUGAAAAGUAGAAUACGAUAUAUAAGCAUAAGGAAAAUAUGCCUAAUUAAGGUGCAAUUAGUCAUGCAAUGGUGCACUAGAUCCAAAUAAACUUGCACAUUAGAAGCCUAAUUAAGUCAUAUACAACUAACAACAUAAAGAGUAGAAGAAGCAAUCAGUCAAUCAAUCAAUCUCAGUCUCAAUCUGGUUUAUAUUAAAGCUGAUGCAUAAUUGGAAGCCGCCUAGGUUGUAUAUAUAUGCGCAUGCGGUGUUGUAGAAUCAUUUUGCCGUCCCGAUAAUCAAACUAUGGUGGAGUGCGUAUUCAACUACACAUCACUUCAUAAGUAAAUGGUGACCAAGCCAAGUCUUUUGCGCGAGAAUGCAUUAAUUUCCAUUAAAAACUGGAAACAAUAUAAAUACGUCAAUUAAAGAUGAGCAGGAGCAGAGUCUGAUGAAUAUUUUGCUUUGUCUGCUGCACCGUGCAUAGCGUGUAGUUUCAGGUUCCGUUGAAACUGCACCCUGUCAUCGUCGCCUCCUUCUCAUGCAAUUUGUGAUGUGCAAUUGACAUACUAACAGGUCAAGCUACGGAUUGAUCUGAUGUGCUUCUACACAAAUUGUGACAUAGUAAAAGGUCUACCAAAUCUACAGGAAGCAAUGAGAGAGCUGCAAAUAUAUGCUACACAUCGCCCAUCACAAAUAACUAAUGGA
rnacentral:lncRNA from 1 species